rnacentral:lncRNA from 1 species
ACCUUUAAACGGUAGGCUUAAAGCACCCUUUCACGUGUUAAUGAAUGUAAUUUGGAGUUGGUAGGCCAAUGGCACCUCUCAUAUGUGAUAAUGUCAAGGUAACCAACUAUUCUAUGGUAAUGUAGGCUAAGAACCGAGUGGAUUUGGUUAGAUGGAAACUCCCCCAAUAGUUAGGCAUGAGUUUCAAUGAUCGUCUACCUUAUCCCAUAAACUAUGUGCCGGCAUAGGUAGCUAGUGGAUCCAUUAAGCUAUAUAUUCAGGUCUUCCUUAGGCAAGUAGACCACUUUUUUACGGUGUGGGGACUUAUGACACCGGAUUCCAUGACAAGCUCUCAUGGUCUAUGUCGAUUAAACGCUUACUUCCCAUCAUGUGAGAUUUCACUAUGGUUUCUUGAUAGGUUCUACAAAGUGUAGGUAGUAGUAUGGGAUGCUACCUAUACAUUGCACGAGUAGGCUUGGAGAGGGUCAUAGUGAGUUUCUCUAAAUCCUAAUGUAUGUGACAUAAAUGUGCCCUAAAUGAGGUUAUGAAAGAAUGUUGGCUCUCAAAUGCUUAAUAUGAGAUGCAUGCUAUACUUGGGUUAUAUUAUGAGUUAUUUUCCCUUGUCAUGUCUUAAUUAAUGAUAUACCUCUUAUGUAUGAAUAUUCUGGAAAGGUGAAAGAAAGGAAUGAUAAGUUACUUUAAGUGACAAAAAUGUGGUGCCUGAGUAAGGAUGGUGGUAUGUGACGCCAUCCAUACAUUGCACGAGGAAUAGCAUAAGGGUUUCUUGAGGUGAAGGUCUAAGGUAAAGGUUUUCAUGUUGAUAUUGUUUAAAGGUGAUAUUAUGACUUACUUGAUGUUUAUCCUUGUCUUGUAUGUCUUUUAUGCAACUGUUCAUGAUAUUUCAAAAAGUGGCAUAAUGAAUGGUUUCUAGCCAAAAUGUCCAUUUUAAAGCAAGUUUUGCAUGGUCAUCAUACUUGGUACAUUUUGUGUACUAACCCAUAUUCUUCAUGUUUUUACUAUAAGUGUAGCUUCCGGCAAGUGAUCCCUCCUAGCUAGUUUGAAGUGUUGGAUUGCUUUCCUCCAAGACUUGGUAUGUCCUCAUGGAUUCGAGGAUAAGACUUUUAAGUUCUUUUGAUCAUGUAAUAGACACUUUUAGUUUUGUUUCGAUUGUAAAGGGUCGUGUCCCUACUUAUGUUUUGUGAUUGUGUCUAAGAUGGCCAUGUGAGACGUAGACUUUCGCUGUGUGUUUUUAAAGUUGUUUUAAUGAAGUAUGAAUGAUGUGGAUGUAAAUAAGUUUUUCAUUCCGCACUAUUAUCAUUAUUGAAUGCAAUGAAUGACUAUGUGGUUUGUAUAAGACCCCUUUGGGGUCGGGUACGCCUUGUUACCACUUGGGGGUCCUCCCGGGUCGUGACAAACAUGGUAUCAGAGCAUAAGAUUUUGGAAAUGGUUUUUAGGAUCAAAUUCUCACAAACCAUGUCUAGUAGAGUAUUGUUCAUCGGUGUGGGUCGCGACACAUCUAUUAGCGAGAGGCUAUAGGACGUUAGAAGUUACACUUCUUUCAUAUUCUUAAAGUCGUGCCUUAGAGUGUGGUUCUAUAAGUGUUCUUAUCCUAAUCCUGCUCUUGUGUUUAUAGGAUAUGAAUACAAGAGGGAGACCCGCAAGGGGAGUAGCAGAAGAGGAUGUGAAUGAGGAAGUUCCUCCCCAAGGUCCUCAAGACGUCCAAGUUCCGAUAGGAGUUCCGGAUAUGACCAAUGAGGAUAUUAGGUCGGCUUUCUUAAUCUUGGCCAGAGCCAUGGCGGCUCAAGCGACUAGAGAUACAAGGCCUAGGGUGAAUGCUAAUUAGGGUACUAUGGCUUCGAAGUUGAGAGACUUUGUGAGGAUGAAUCCUCCGGUGUUUCAGGUUCUAAGGUGGGAGAGGAGUCAUACGGCAAUGCUCCAUAAUGACAUGAACAUUUCUAGGCUCAUAGUGUAUGCUCAAUCCAUUGAGGAGUCCAAACUUAAGAGGAUGAAUAGGGGUGUGAAGAGGGGUUGAUCGGAUGAGCAAGGUCAACCUAGGUUCAAGAAGAGGAGUCAAGACCAAGACUCUUCAAGUGCUCCUAAGGUUAACCAAGAAAAAAAUGGUGGAAUCUCAAUUUUCUAAACCUACUUGCAUCUCUUGUGGCAAGAGGCACUAUGGGAAGUGCCUAGCCGGUACUAAUGGGUGUUAUGGUUGUGGGAAGAAUGAUCACAAGGUCAAAGAUUGUCCUACUCUUACAGCUAGAGGAAGGGAAGCCAAGCAAGCUUCUAAAGAUGGAACGGUUCCUAUCCCUCCAUAUUAUGGUCGUUUCUAUGCUCUCCAAGCUAACAAGCACAAAGAAGCUAAUCCGAAUAAAGGCGCCGGUAAGUUUUAGUUCCUUAUGGUCAUGAAUAUCUUGAUGAGGUUUCUAUGUUGUUGUUUUUCAUGUUUGCCUUAGUUGGGUUUUCUCCUAAUUUGGGGAUGUUAUGUCGAAUAGCAAGGUUGUUGAGAGUGUUGAUAUCAUUAUCUCAUUCCUUCUAUUAUUACUCAAUCUUGAGACCAAGAGUUCCUAGUAACUUGUUUUAUGUUUUGGAGUCUUGUGUGAAAAUGAGUUUCCAUGGUCUCCUUAUGUUAUGCAUGCUAUAUUUGAAUUCCUGUUAAAUGAUAAAAUGAGUUUUCAUAAAUGUGUUCCUCAUGUUGAUGUGCAUUUAGUUGAGUUGUCUAUAUGCUUCAUGAGAAUAAAUGUUGAACAUACCUAAAUAUGCUUUAGUGAAAAUUUCCCUAAUUGUGCUUUUGCAAGUAAUUGCAUAAUGAGCUUAAUGUUUUGUAGUGAGCAUGAAGUGAUUGGAGAAGGAAGUUUCUCCAAUAAAAAAAAAGAGAAAGGGGAAGUUUUGAUGCACAAUAAGUUUGUGGAUGUAGUUCCUACUUGGUUGAUUGGUAUGAAGUUUGUUCGAGCCUCUUGAUGUGGAGUUGAUGUUUCCUCCUAUGUUUAUACAUUUAUGUUGACAUGUUACGUUUGUUGGGCUGCUAGUCUUGAGUUGUUUUUCCCUUAAUGUGUUUAAAGUGUCAUUCGAGGACGAAUGUUCCUAAGUAGGUGAUAAUGUAACAACUCGGAAAAUGAUAGACUGAACUUGAGCCUUGACGUUUGGGUUAGUGUGAGCUUAGGUUGAUGUUUAUGCUGUUUUAGAACUUAAAUAGAGCUAAGUAGCAUCCUAGGGUGCAAGCAAAGGCCUAGGCUAGCAAGUUAGCCUAGUGGACUGCCCAGUUGACCAGCCUUUGAGUAAUCCCACUGGAACAGACGGGCAAGGGGCAGAUAUUUAAAUUUACGACUUUCAGGGUCAACGUCAAAUGAUGAUAUCUUUUGGCUCAAAACGAAUUAGGUGUAACUUUACCUAUCCAAUUAAAGGUAUCUGAGUCCUCUUUCCAACGCCACGGAGUAUGCCCUUUUCCGAUCUUGGAGUAAAAAAUUAUGCCCAAAAUAGUGAAACACUGUCUAAAAGGACGAGCUUAGACGGGUUUAGUGAAAACUUUAAGUUUAACUUUGUGGGUCCUUAAUUCUUUUCCUAAGUUGAGUCCCUAUUAUUGUUUACCUUUCCUAGCAAUUAUAAAACCCUUUUUGACCAAAAUUCUUCCUAUGAUUAAUUGUUGGUAUAUGGAUGAAUUGAGGAUUGUGGCCUUAUGGGCAAAUUAUGGGUGAAUCACCUUGUGGUGAUAGAAUUGUUGGGAAUUGAGUAAUGGUUGUUAUGGCUUUGGAGGAUGGUAAGUUGACUUAAUCUCAUAUUAUUAGUAGAAUUGUUCUUGAUGAUGAUCCCUUUGAAAGGUGGAGGUGUUUACUUAUUUUGUACAUUGUGACCAUGGCCUUGGAAGCAUAGUAUGAGAAAUUUAAGUGUUACAUGACAUUUUAUGAAUGGACAUUCAAUGGAGCUAGUGUGUUCAUGUUAUGAACGUAAAUGUGUUAUUAUUGAAAAGCUUUUUCUGAAUUUGACACUCAUGAAUGUUGAUGAUAGAAUAUGAAGGAUUCUCCGAUGUAAUGCAUCUCUCGAAUUGGUAGAGCUUGUGCAUCCUUUUCUUCUUUAAAUGAUUAUAUUGUUGGUUGUUGAAUCCUCGAAUUGGUAGGGUAGUAGCACCCCUCCACUCAUGAUAAUAAUGAACCUUGGAAUCGGUAGGCUAAUGGCACCGUUCCGUUAAUGAUAGUAAUGAACCUUGGAAUCGGUAGGCCUAUGGCACCUUUCCAUGAAGGUUAAUGGUGAGACUUGAAUCGGUAGACCUAUGGCACCUUUCCAUGAAGGUUAAUGAUGAGACUUGAACCGGUAGCCCCAUGGCACCCUUUCAAGAGGAGUUAGUGAGCUUUCCUAAAUGAACCUUGAAACGGUAGGUUUAAAGCACCCUUACACAUGUUAAGGAAUGUAAUUUGGAGUUGGUAGGCCAAUGGAACCUCUCAUAUGUGAUAAUGGCAAGGUAAUGAACUAUUCUAUGGGAAUGUAGGCUAAGCACCGAGUGGAUUUGGUUAGAUGGAAACUCCCCAAAUAGUUAGGCAUGAGUUUCAAUGAUCGUCUACCUUAUCCCAUAAACUAUGUGCUUGCAUAGGUAGCUAGUGGAUCCAUUAAGCUAUAUAUUCCAGUCUUCCUUAGGCAAGUAGACCACCUUUUUACGGUGUGGGGACUUAUGACACCGAAUUCCAUGACAAGCUCUCAUGGUUUAUGUCGGUUAAACUCUUACUUCCCAUCAUGUGAGAGUUCAUUAUGGUUUCUUGAUAGGUUCUACAAAGUGUAGGUAGUAGUAUGGGAUGCUACCUAUACAUUGCACGAGUAGGCUUGGAGAGGGUCAUAGUGAGUUUCUCUAAAUCCUAAUGUAUGUGAAAUAAAUGUGCCCUAAAUGGUUUCUUAAAGAAUGUUGGCUCUCAAAUGCUUAAUAUGAGAUGCAUGCUAUACUUGGGUUAUAUUACGAGUUAUUUUCCCUUGUCAUGUCUUAAUUAAUGAUAUACCUCUUAUGUAUGAAUAUUGUGCAAAGGUGAAAGAAAGGAAUGAUAAGUUACCUUAAGUGACCUUAAUGUGGUGCCUUAGUAUGGAUGGUGGUAUGGGACGCCAUCCAUACAUUGCACGAGGUAUAGCAUAAGGGUUUCUUGAGGUGAAGGUCCAAGGUAAAGGUUUUCAUGUUGAUAUUGUUUAAAGGUGAUAUUAUGACUUACUUGAUGUUAUGCUUGUCUUGUAUGUCUUUUAUGCUAUUGUUCAUGAUAUUUCAAAAAGGUGGCAUAAUGCAUGGUUUCUAACUAAAAUGUCCCUUUUAAAGCAUAUUUUGCAUGGUCAUCAUACUUAGUACUUAAUUGUGCUAAUUCCAUAUUUCUCUAUUUUCUACUAGUGUAGGUUCCGGAAAGUGAGCGGGUUCUAUAGUAAGCUUGGAACUUGAAGUUCUUCCAAGAUCUUGUGGUAUGUCCUCAUAUGUCGAGGACAAGACUUUUCUAUUCUAAUUUUAUGAUAAGGUUCUUGCAAUAGACUUAAUAGACUUCUUUUGAUUGUAAAGGGCCGUGUCCCUACUUAUGUUUUUGUUUGUGUCUAAGAUGGCCAUGUGAGACUUAGACUUCCGCUGUGUGUUUUUAAAGUUGUUUUAAGAAGUUUAAAUGUGUGGAUGUAAAUAAGUUUUUUUAUUAUUCCGCACUAUUUUCAUUAUUGAAUGCAAUGAAUGACUAUGUGGCUCGUAUAAGACCCCUUCGGGGUCGAAUACGCCAUGUUACGACUAGGGGGUACCCUCGGGUCGUAACAGAGGCAUUCUCUUUUAUCUCAUUCAACACUCUGUCGUGUUCUUCGACUUUUGUGGAAAAUGAGUGAGAGAAUCUCUUCUACUUGUCCAACCUCAUACUCCUUGGACUUUCUACCCUCAUAAGGGGGAAUGUACCGAUCUUUAUUUUUUUAUGGUACCUCCAAUUCCAUAAUCUGUUUGGCCACGAGAUCCAGCUGAGUCAGCAUUGUGGCCAAAAUAUGGUCCUUCUUAGUCUCUUUGUUGGUCUUGGCCAUGUGAUUAAGGAGUUGGGCUGCUAUUGCAUAGGGUAGUCGUGUAAGACCACCCGGAGAAAUUUGAUCAGCCACUUCUCUGUUCUCCGGACCAAGACCUCUAUAGAAGCAGUCUAGCAGCAUUUUAUCUGAGAUUCCAUGAGCUGGACAUUGCAGUAAUAGUGACUUAAAUCUCAGGCACAACUCAUGGAUUGACUCACCCUUCAAUUUCCUGAAACUUAGGAUGUCAUCCCUAAGAAUCAUCAUCCUCAAAUGAGAGUGGUCCAUUUGGUCACCGUUUCUACAAGACAUGCUCCUUUCUUCUAUUCUAAACAAGCAACAUGAGAACCAAGUUCUUCAUGUUUUUACUAUAAGUGUUGGUUCCGGCAAGUGAUCCCUCCUAGCUAGUUUGAAGUGUUGGAUUGCUUUCCUCCAAGACUUGGUAUGUCCUCAUGGAUUCGAGGAUAAGACUUUUAAGUUCUUUUGUUCAUGUAAUAGACUUUUUUAGUUUUGUUUUGAUUGUAAAGGGCCGUGUCCCUACUUAUGUUUUGUGACUGUGUCUAAGAUGGCCAUGUGAGACUUAGACUUCCGCUGUGUGUUUUUAAAGUUGUUUUAAUGAAGUUUAAAUGUGUGGAUGUAAAUAAAGGGCCGUGUCCCUACUUAUGUUUUUGUUUGUGUCUAAGAUGGCCAUGUGAGACUUAGACUUCCGCUGUGUGUUUUUAAAGUUGUUUUAAUGAAGCUUGAAUGUUUGGAUGUAAAUAAGUUUUUAAUUCCUCACUAUUAUCAUUAUUGAAUGCAAUGAAUGAUUAUGUGGUUUGUAUAAGAUCCCUUCGGGGAUGAGUACGCCUUGUUACGACUUGGGGGUGCUCCCGGGUCGUGACAAACAUGGUAUCAGAGCAUAAGAUUUUGGAAAUGGUUUUUAGGAUCAAUGUCUCACAUGCCACGUCUAGUAGAGUCUUGUUCAUCGGUGUGAGUCGCGACACAUCUAUGAGCGAGAGGCUAUAGGACGAUAGAAGUUGCACUUCUUUCAUAUUCUUAAAGUCGUGCCUUAGAGUGUGGUUCUAUAAGUGUUCUUAUCCUUAUCCUUCUCUUGUGUUUAUAGGAUAUGAAUACAAGAGGGAGACCCGCAAGGAGAGUAGGAGAAGAGGAUGUGAAUGAGGAAGUUCCUCCCCAAGUUGUGCAAAAUGGUCAAGGUGUGCAAUGCAAUCAAGUUCCUAUAGGUGAGCAAGAGAAUGAGGUUCCGGUGGUUCCCCCGGAUAUGACUAAUGAAGAGAUUAGGUCGGCUUUCUUAAUCUUGGCCCGAGCCACGGCGGCUCAAGCGACUAGAGAUAUGGGGCCUAGGGUGAAUGCUAAUGAGGGUACUAUGGCUUCUAAGUUGAGAGACUUUGUGAGGAUGAAUCCUCCGGUGUUUCUAGGUUCUAAGGUGGGAGAGGAUCCCCAAGAAUUUUUGGAUGAAGUGUAUAAGGUAGUGAGUGCUAUGGGGGUGACUUCAAGAGAAAAGGCGGAGCUUACCUCUUAUCAAUUGAAAGAUGUUGCCCAAAUUUGGUUCACUCAAUGGAAGGCUAAUAGGCCGGUGGGAGCGGAUCCUAUGGAAUGGGAGGAGUUUAAGGAAGCUUUCCUCGGUAGGUAUUUUCCCCGUGAGAUGAGGGAGUGUAAGGUUGAGGAGUUUAUCAACCUUAGACAAGGCAAUGCGAGUGUGCAAGAGUACUCCUUGAGGUUUACCCAAUUGUCUAAGUAUGCUCCAUCUUUGGUGUCAAACCCUAGGGAUGAGAUGAGUAGGUUUGUGACCGGUGUAUCCGACCUAGUCAAGGAAGAGUGCCAUACGGCAAUGCUCCAUAAUGACAUGAACAUUUCUAGGCUCAUAGUGUAUGCUCAAUCCAUUAAGGAGUCCAAACUUAAGAGGGUGAAUAGGGGUGUGAAGAGGGGUAGAUCGGAUGAGCAAGGUCAAUCUAGGUUCAAGAAAAGGACUCAAGACCAAGAUUCUUCAAGUUCUCCUAAGGUUAACCAAGAAAAAAAUGGUGGAUCUCAAUUUUCUAAACCUACUUGCAUCACUUGUGGCAAGAGGCACUAUGGGAAGUGCCUAGCCGGUACUAAUGGGUGUUAUGGUUGUGGGAAGAAUGAUCACAAGGUGAAAGAUUGUCCUACUCUUACGGCUAGAGGAAGGGAAGCGAAGCAAGCUUCUAAAGAUGGAACGGUUCCUAUCCAUCCAUAUUAUGGUCGUUUCUAUGCUCUCCAAGAUAACAAGGAAAAAGAAGCUAAUCCGAAUAAAGGCGCCGGUAAGUUUUAGUUCCUUAUAGUCAUGAAUAUCUUGAUGAGGUUUCUAUGUUGUUGUUUUUCAUGUUUGCCUUAGUUGGGUUUUCUCCUAAGUGGGGGAUGGUAUGUCGAAUAGCGAGGUUGUUGAGAGUGUUGAUAUCAUUAUCUCGUUCCUUCUAUUCUUACUCAAGCUUGAGACCAAGAGUUCCUAGUAACUUGUUUUAUGUUUUGGAGUCUUGUGUGAAAAUGAGUUUCCAUGGUCUUCUUAUGUUAUGCAUGGUCUAUUUGAAUUCUUGUUAAAUGAUAAAAUGAGUUUUCAUAAAUGUGUUCUUCAUGUUGAUGUGCAUUUAGUUGAGUUGUCUAAAUGCUUCAUUAGAAUAAAUGUUGAACAUGCCUAAAUAUGCUUUAGUGAAAAUUUGCCUAAUUGUGCUUUUGCAAGUAAUUGCAUACUAAGCUUACUGUUUUGUAGUGAGCAUGAAGUGAUUGGAGAAGGAAGUUUCUCCAAAAAAAAAAAAGAGACAGGGGAAGUUUUGAUGCACAAUAAGUUUGUGGAUGUAGUUCCUACUUGCUUGAUUGGUAUGAAGUUUGUUCGAGCCUCUUGAUGUGGAGUUGAUGUUUCCUCCUAUGUUUAUGCAUUUAUGUUGACAUGUUACGAUUGUUGGGCUGCUAGUCUUGAGUUGUUUUUCCCUUAAUGUGUUUAAAGUGUCAUUCGAGGACGAAUGUUCCUUAGUGGGUUAUAAUAUAACAAAUCGGAAAAUGAUAGAAUGAACUUGAGCCUCGACGUUUGGGUUAGUGGGAGCUUAGGUUGAUGUUUAUGCUGUUUUAGAACUUAAAUGAAGCUAAGUAGCAUCCUAGGGUGCAAGAAAAGGCCUAGGCUAGCAAGUUAGCCUAGUGGACUGCCCAGUUGACCAGCCUUUGAGUAAUCCCACUGGAACAGACGGUCAAGUGGCAGAUUUUUAAAGUUACUACUUUUAGGGUCAACUUCAAAUGAUGAUAUCUUUUAGCUCAAAACGAAUUAGGUGGAACAUCACCGAUCCAAAUAAAGGUAUCUGAGUCCUCUUUCCAACGCCACCGAGUUUUCUCUUUUCCGAUCUUCGAUUAAAAAGUUAAGCCCAAAAUAGUGAAGCACUGUCUAAAAGGACGAGCUNNNNNNNNNNNNNNNNNNNNNNNNNNNNNNNNNNNNNNNNNNNNNNNNNNNNNNNNNNNNNNNNNNNNNNNNNNNNNNNNNNNNNNNNNNNNNNNNNNNNGGAAGAAUGAUCACAAGGUGAAAGAUUGUCCUACUCUGACAGCUAGAGGAAGGGAAGCCAAGAAUGCUUCUAAAGAUGGAACGGUUCCUAUCUAUCCAUAUUAUGGUCGUUUCUAUGCUCUCCAAGCUAACAAGGACAAAGAAGCUAAUCCGAAUAAAGGCGCCGGUAAGUUUUAGUUCCUUAUGGUCAUGAAUAUCUUGAUGAGGUUUCUAUGUUGUUAUUUUUCAUGUUUGCCUUAGUUGGGUUUUCUCCUAAUUGGGGGAUGGUAUGUCGAAUAGCAAGGUUGUUGAGAGUGUUGAUAUCAUUAUCUCGUUCCUUGUAUUCUUACUCAUGCUUGAGACCAAGAGUUCCUAGUAACUUGUUUUAUGUUUUAGAGUCUUGUGUGAAAAUGAGUUUCCAUGGUCUCCUUAUGUUAUGCAUGCUCUAUUUGAAUUCUUGUUAAAUGAUAAAAUGAGUUUUCAUAAAUGUGUUCCUCAUGUUGAUGUGCAUUUAGUUGAGUUGUCUAAAUGCUUCAUGAGAAUAAAUGUUGAACAUGCCUAAAUAUGCUUUAGUGAAAAUUUCCCUAAUUGUGCUUUUGCAAGUAAUUGCAUAAUGAGCUUAAUGUUUUGUAGUGAGCAUGAUUUGAUUGGAGAAGGAAGUUUCUCCAACAAAAAAUAAAGAGAAAGGGGAAGUUUUGAUGCACAAUAAGUUUGUGGAUGUAGUUCCUACUUUCUUGAUUGGUAUGAAGUUUGUUCGAGCCUCUUGAUGUGGAGUUGAUGUUUCCUCCUAUGUUUAUGCAUUUAUGUUGACAUGUUACGAUUGUUGGGCUGCUAGUCUUGAGUUGUUUUUCCCUUAAUGUGUUUAAAGUGUCAUUCGAGGACGAAUGUUCCUAAGUGCGUGAUAAUGUAACAACUCGGAAAAUGAUAGAAUGAACUUGAGCCUUGACGUUUGGGUUAGUGGGAGCUUAGGUUGAUGUUUAUGCUGGUUUAGAACCUAAAUGGAGCUAAAUAGCAUCCUAGGAUGCAAGCAAGGGCCUAGACUAGCAAUUUAGCCUAGUGGACUGCCCAGUUGACCAGCCUUUGAGUAAUCCCACUGGAACAGACGGUCAAGGGGAAGAUUUUUAAAGUUACAACUUUUAGGGUCAACUUCAAAUGAUGAUAUCUUUUAGCUCAAAACGAAUUAGGUGGAACAUCACCCAUCCAAUUAAAGGUAUCUGAGUCCUCUUUCCAACGCCACCCAUUAGAAUUAAAAAGAAACCCACCUCCUCCCAAAUAUUUCUCUCUACAAUUCUCCAUUUAAAAAGGUCAAGAACUUGGAGCUAGGGCUUGGUUUGAAGGUGGCUUCUUCAUCAAAUUUCUUGGGGAAUCUUAACAAAGGUAUGGUGACCCUUGAUCCUUGAUUAUCUUUCCUUCAAGGAGUCCAUUAAAAAGGGUUUCAAAAGUCUUCAAAGAACAAAACUUCUAUGUUCUAUUCUAGGUAUGGGUUCAUGGGUAAAAUGUUUUCAAAGUCAUUAUAUUGGUGAAUUGAAGUUCUAUUUAUGAUUUUAAGAUGAUUUUAUAUGGAACUUCUUCAAGAACCCAUGUUUUCAUUAUUGCCAAUGAUUUAAUGUUGAUGAAAUAGUGUUUAGAUCGGAUUGUAUUGUUGAUUUAUAUGGUUUUGUAUAUUUAUUUAUGAUGAAUUGUUGGUAUAUGGAUGAAUUGAGAAUUGUGGCCUUAUGGGCAAGUUAGGAGUGAAUCACCUUGUGGUGAUAGUAUUGUUGGGAAUUGAGUAAUGGUUAUUAUGGCUUUGGAAGAUGGUCAAUUGACUUAAUCUCAUAUUAUUAGUAGAAUUGUUCUUGAUGAUGAUCCACUUGAAAGGUGGAGGUGUUUACUUAUUUUGAACAUUGUGACCAUGGCCUUGAAGGCAUAGUAUGAGAAAUUUAAAUGUUACAUGACAUUUUAUGAAUGGACAUUCAAUGGAGCUAAUGUGAUCAUGUUAUGAAAGUAAAUGUGUUAUUAUUGAAAGGAUUUUUCUCAAUUUGACACUCAUGAAUGUUGAUGAUAGAAUAUGAAGGAUUCUCCAAUUUAUUGCAUAUCUCGAAUUGGUAGAGCUUGUGCAUCCUUUUCUUGUUUAAAUGAUUAUAUUGUUGGUUGUGGAAUCCUCGAAGCGGUAGGCUAGUAGCACCCUUCCAAUCAUGAUAAUAAUGAACCUUGGAAUCGGUAGGCCUAUGGCACCUUUCCAUGAAGGUUAAUGAUGAGACUUGAACCGGUAGGCCCAUGGCACCCUUUAAAGAGGAGUUAAUGAGCUUUCCUAAAUGAACCUUGAAACGGUAGGCUUAAAGCACCCUUCACGUGUUAAUAAAUGUAAUUUGGAGUUGGUAGGCCAAUGGCACCUCUCAUACGUGAUAAUGUCAAGGUAACGAACUAUUCUAUGGGAAUGUAGGCUAAGCACCGAGUGGAUUUGGUUAGAUGGAAACUCCCCCAAUAGUUAGGCAUGAGUUUCAAUGAUCGUCUACCUUAUCCCAUAAACUAUGUGCCCGCAUAGGUAGCUAGUGGAUCCAUUAAGCUAUAUAUACCGGUCUUCCUUAGGCAAGUAGACCACCUCUUUACGGUGUGGGGACUUAUGACACCGGAUUCCAUGACAAGCUCUCAUGGUCUAUGUCGGUUAAAUGCUUACUUCCCAUCAUGUGAGAUUUCAUUAUGGUUUCUUGAUAGGUUCUACAAAGUGUAGGUAGUAGUAUGGGAUGCUACCUAUACAUUGCACGAGUAGGCUUGGAGAGGGUCAUAGUGAGUUUCUCUAAAUCCUAAUGUAUGUGA